rnacentral:lncRNA from 1 species
CCCCCCCCCCCCCCCCCCCCCCCCCCCCUCCCCCAUCACCAUCACCCCCAUCACCAUCACCUCCAUCACCUCCACCAUCACUGUCAUCAUCACCUCCACCAUCACCACCACCACCAUCACCUCCACCAUCAUCACAUCCACCAUCACGGCUCCUCCUGGUCUGCUGGUCACAGGGCUGAAGUUGACCUGGGGAGAGCCGGGCCCUCGCGCAGCCACUAUGCAGUUGACCUUGGUCACAGGCCUCCGAGUCGGCGGUGUGGUGGGUGUGGAGCCUGGGAGGGGGCCCCACUCCCAGCUCAGGGUUCUGGGGUGCUGAGUGGACCUGGGGAGGGUUGGGUCAUGCCCAGGGCCCAGAGCACACAUGUGGCGGGGGCCCUCCCUGCCUCACCCAGGUGGCGGUGGCAGGGGACAUAUUGAGGGGUAUUAAACCUCGCUUGUGUUUGGGAAACACUAUUAACAAAUAAAGAUCUUAAAUCUUUGUGACACUCUUGGUGGCCAGAAGCUUAAUAUAGGAGCAGAUAAUAAUUACCUAGUGAUGAACAGCUGCACUUAAUAGUUUCCGAAGUGAUUGUGGUAAAGAAAAAGUUAAACAAAAGCCCAUCAGAAUUGCCUGAACACUGCAGGAACCUCGGUGCUGGUGGUGGGCUGGGCGAGUCAUCCUGGAACGACACACGGGUAUGGUUCCCUGGACCCUCUGCUGCCCACUUCCUGGCCUGCGCCCCAGGGUGGGCCUGAGACACGGAGCAGGGGCGUUAUCACCUUUCACAGUCGAGGACUUGCGCUGGAAGGGGAGGCCCCAGCACCGGCCACGACCCACCUCCAGGCUCUUUCCCAGGCUCAUUCUGCAGACCAGGGCAGAGGACACGGCAGGCCCCGGGGAUGCCAGGGCCCACGGAUGCCCCCUUCCCGGGCAGGCUCCUGCCGUCCCCUCUGCAGCCAUGGACAGGCAUCCUCUGUCAGGCACAGUCACAAAACUUCUAAGACUUAACUAA